GACGAACGCUGGCGGCGUGCUUAACACAUGCAAGUCGAACGAUGAAGAAGAGAAACGCGAACUUCGGUUCAAAUUUCACUUCGGAUUAGUGGCAGACGGGUGAGUAACGCGUGAGCAACCUACCUCUUACAAAGGGAUAGCCUCGGGAAACCGUGAUUAAUACCAUAUGACACAUUCAUAAGGCAUCUUAAGAAUGUUAAAGCUACGGCGGUAAGAGAUGGGCUCGCGUCCCAUUAGCUAGUUGGUGAGGUAACGGCCCACCAAGGCGACGAUGGGUAACCGGCCUGAGAGGGGGAACGGUCACAUUGGAACUGAGACACGGUCCAAACUCCUACGGGAGGCAGCAGUGGGGAAUAUUGCACAAUGGAGGGAACUCUGAUGCAGCGACGCCGCGUGAGCGAUGAAGGAAUUCGUUUCGUAAAGCUCUGUUCUAUGGGAAGAAAAGGACUGUACCAUAGGAGAAAGCCCCGGCUAAAUACGUG
rnacentral:rRNA from 1 species